UUCCGGUUGAUCCCGCCGGACCCGACUGCUAUCAGAGUGGGACUAAGCCAUGCGAGUCGACGUAGCAAUGCGUGGCGAACGGCUCAGUAACACGUAGUCAACAUGCCCAGGGGACGUGGAUAACCUCGGGAAACUGAGAAUAAACCACGAUAGGUCACGAUUUCUGGAAUGGAUCAUGGCAUAAAUCUACAUGGCCCCUGGAUUGGACUGCGGCCGAUCAGGCAGUUGGUGAGGUAAUGGCCCACCAAACCUAUAACCGGUACGGGCUCUGAGAGGAGAAGCCCGGAGAUGGGCACUGAGACAAGGGCCCAGGCCCUAUGGGGCGCAGCAGGCGCGAAACCUCUGCAAUAGGCGAAAGCCUGACAGGGUUACUCUGAGUGAUUUCCGCUAAGGGGAUCUUUUGGCACCUCUAAAAAUGGUGCAGAAUAAGGGGUGGGCAAGUCUGGUGUCAGCCGCCGCGGUAAUACCAGCACCCCGAGUGGUCGGGACGAUUAUUGGGCCUAAAGCAUCCGUAGCCGGUUCUGCAAGUCCUCCGUUAAAUCCAGCCGCUCAACGGAUGGGCCGCGGAGGAUACUAUAGGACUAGGAGGCGGGAGAGGCAAGCGGUACUCAGUGGGUAGGGGUAAAAUCCGUUGAUCCAUUGAAGACCACCAGUGGCGAAGGCGGCUUGCCAGAACGCGCUCGACGGUGAGGGAUGAAAGCUGGGGGAGCAAACCGGAUUAGAUACCCGGGUAGUCCCAG
rnacentral:rRNA from 1 species